rnacentral:rRNA from 1 species
AUUGAACGCUGGCGGCGUGCUUAACACAUGCAAGUCGUGCGGUAACAGGCGUAGCAAUACGUGCUGACGAGCGGCGAACGGGUGCGUAAUACAUGGGAAUCUGCCUUUUAGUGGGGAAUAACCCGGCGAAAGCCGGGCUAAUGCCGCAUAAGAUCUUCGGAUGAAAGCGGGGGAGUCGUAAGACCUCGCGCUGAUAGAUGAGCCCACUGCCGGAUUAGCAGUUGGUUGGAGGUAACGGCUCACCAAGGCGACGAUCCGUAGCUGGUCUGAGAGGACGGCCAGCCACACUGGGACGUGAGACACGGCCCACGACUCCUACGGGAGGCAGCAGUGGGGAAGUAAUUGG